AUGACUAGAGAUAACCUUAGAAAGAGGCACAUCAUUAAGCCUCUAGACUGUGCAUAUUGUGCAGAGAAUGAAACCAACUUCCACUUAUUCUUUGAGUGUAUAGUAGCCAGGAGUAUAUGGUCCUUUCUUGGUGAAUUCUUCCAAACACGGAUAGGCACAGAUUUUGAAUCUGUUGCACGUUUCUAGGUUUCUAACAAGAAAAACUCUGCAUUAAAUACCAUUAGUUUUGUUGUCCUGUGGUGUUUGUGGAAAUAUAGGAACUCUAUAAUUUUUAACAAUACCAUUUGGACUUCUAUUACCCAGAUUUGGGGCUUGAUUAUCAGAAUGCUCAAAUUCUGGGUUGUCCUAUCUCCGGAAGCAGGGAAAGCAAAGCUGGAGGAAUUCCUGAGCUCUCUGACAAGCUUCGUUCGGCAACCCCUGCGGAUCCUGAGUGGCUGA
rnacentral:rRNA from 1 species